rnacentral:rRNA from 1 species
AUUGAACGCUGGCGGCAUGCCUUACACAUGCAAGUCGAACGGCAGCACGGGAGCAAUCCUGGUGGCGAGUGGCGAACGGGUGAGUAAAGUAUCGGAACGUGCCCAGUCGUGGGGGAUAACGUAGCGAAAGUUACGCUAAUACCGCAUACGAUCUAUGGAUGAAAGCGGGGGAUCGCAAGACCUCGCGCGAUUGGAGCGGCCGAUAUCAGAUUAGGUAGUUGGUGGGGUAAAGGCCCACCAAGCCGACGACCUGUAGCUGGUCUGAGAGGACGGCCAGCCAAACUGGGACGGGGACACGGCCCAGACUCCUACGGGAGGCAGCAGUGGGGAAUUUUGGACAAUGGGCGAAAGCCUGAUCCAGCCAUGCCGCGUGCAGGAUGAAGGCCUUCGGGUUGUAAACUGCUUUUGUACGGAACGAAAAGGACUGCCCUAAUACGGUGGUCCCAUGACGGUACCGUAAGAAUAAGCACCGGCUAACUACGUGCCAGCAGCCGCCGUAAGAC